rnacentral:lncRNA from 1 species
AGUUGCCACUGGAACAGGUGCUGGUGGUGGAGAUGAAACUGGAACUGGUGCUGCUGGUGGUGUAGCAGCAACAGGUGGUGGUGUAGCAGCAACAGGUGGUGGUGUAGAAGCAACAGGUGGUGGUGUAGAAGCAACAGGUGGUGGUGUAGAAGCAACAGGUGGUGUUGCAACUGGUGCUAUUGGUGUUGUUGUUGGUGGUGCAGAAACUGGUGUUGCAACUUGUGGUGGUGUUGAAACAACUGGUGUUGGUGGUGCUGCAGUUGGUGCUUUAACUGGAGAUGUAGAUUUUGUCGGUGGUGGAGUAGUGGUUGUAGCAGGUGGAGAUGCGGUUGGUGCAGUUGGUGUAGGUUGAGUAGUUGGUGCUGCUCCCGGAGCUUGACCGCCGACAGAAACUACGACAAUGCAGAUAAAAAGAAGACCACAAAUUGCAUUCCUAUCCAUGAUUUUGUACUUUAUUGAUAUAAUUUUGAGUAGUUUAUGACUUUAUGUUAACCUGCGCACACUCACUCUCUUAAACUGCGCACUGUUUGGAAGAUGAGUGAGUGUGGUUGGGUGAUGAGAGAAGUGAAGAGAUGAGGAUUUGAAGAUGAGAUUAAAUAGAAGAGAUAGAUUUAUGUGUGUGAAAAUAUUGAUUUUCUCUCUCUAGAAAGAAACGAUUGUUUUUCUCUCUCUAUUAGAGAUGAGAUGAAUGAAUUAGGGCUUGUAAGUAAAGGAAAGUUGUACCCUACCACGCGCACUAACCAACAAUAGAAAAGAAAGCUGUGAAGCUAUGUGGCGACUCACAACAGUUGUCACCCAACCAAACAUGUGUUAAUCCAUGUCACAGCCAGAUGUUUUGAACAGCAAAUUGUAUUCUUACACGUAAUAGUUAAUUUGUCUGUUUAGUAUAAAAUUACAAUAUUAUCCCUUAUCAAUUUCAACCAAUGGCAUUGUUCCACGUUGGCAAAAUUGGUGGUAGUAAGUUUUUUAGUGGAGUUGGUGAAUAGUUUCUUGUGCCGGUGAUGUUUUGGGGUGUUGCACCGUCAGUGAUAGUGGGACCAGGUUUGACGGUGGGAUACGUGCCUUUGAAAUUAUCCAAAUCAUCAAAGGGCGUGAAACACGGUUGAAAUUAUUUGACACACUGUAAUGCACACAAAACUUCUAUGGUUGAGUUGUUGCAUGUCACAUACUGACAUACUCAUUUACAUGAUCAAUUAAGCUAAGCUAAUUAGUAAUUGCAGAAACUUCAUACGAUGGGUCAAUGAGUUAUGAGACAAUGACUCAAUGUUGUAACCUUAUCUUAUUAGGUACUUUGAUUUAAACCAUACUAUCAAUGUUAGUAGAAAACGUGAUUAAAUGAGAAUAAUCUUAAUAAUUCCGCAAACAUAAAUUAAAUCAUUGAAAGAUAAUGUCCUAAAUACAUGCAUUUAGCAUGGCCAGUAUCGCAUUAUUUUGAUGGAAAAUGUCAUUUACUAUAUAGAAUGAAACAUGAGGAACCCUAAUAUAGAUACAUUAUCAAACAAAUGCGUCAUGCGUGUUUUAUCAAAGAAGUAAAAUGUGAAAGUUUUAAAUAAAAUUGGUGAAAUGUCGUUGUGAUCUUAAUCUCACAUUAUCUUACAUUCAAUCUCUUCAUAACUAUUUUUAGGUGAUGAGUCUGAUACUCUUUUAUAUAUUUGAAAGGGAAGGAAAUCGGAAGGUGCGCUGUAAUAGCUAGACUGAAGUUGGUUUAACGGUCACAUUUCAUUUCCACAUGGGUUUUAUGACAAUAUAUGUUCUAACAUCCGACCGUUAGGCUUGGUUUUUCUUAUCAUUUGAGCCACAAAGACAACAUGUAUUCAUUGAUUGAGAGAAGUUAUUUUAUUCUUUUGACAUUUUUAGAGGACCAGACAUACAUAAAAUGCUAAAUUGCUAAUAAUGAAUAAUCUAUUCAAUACAGCUCAUUUUGAAAACAAACAAGAUCUGGUUUGAUUGAAAGAACAACAUAUUUUAUUAUAUUGUUUUUAAUUUGUGGGCCAUUUUAUUAAUGUGGUAGGCCAACGAAAGCCCAUCCUUAUAUGUGAUCAGUGUAACCACCCUUCUAAGCAAAGUUUUCACUAAUCUUAGAACUAAUAUGAUUUUCGAAUAAUGUAGAUCUUGGUGUGACUGAGUAGCAGAAUUGCUCGAGUCGUAAGGUGGUGGUGUGGACGUUUAGAUAAUAGUGUAAGUAGUCUUCAAACCUUGUUUUUGUAAGUCUUUUAGGCAUUAUCUUUGUAAACUUUCGGGCCAUUAUUAAUAUAAAAAAAAAAAAAAAUCAUCUUAUUGAGACCCUUGUCAUAAUAAAGAUAAAGAUGAAGAUCUACCUGUAUUGUGAAAUAUGAUCUCUCAUUUAGGUUUGGAUUUUGGAUCCACCAUCAUCAAUAUUGUGCGGUGACAAUGCGGAUUAUGACUGAUGGUUGGGAAACUAGGAAUUUGGAAUCCAAUCAAAGGUUGCAACAAUCACCCCAACAGUUAUAUGACUUAUUUAAGAAAAGUUAUAUACAUUCAUUUAAGAUUGUGUUCAAAAGUGAUGCCUUCAUAGCUCAGUGGUAGAGCGUCAGUCUUGUAAACUGAAGGUCCGUAGUUCGAUCCUGCGUGGAGGCAUUUUCAUUUUCAUUUUUGUUUUAUCACCACCAAUUCACCAAACUUCAACUUGCAUUGCAGCACGGGCCUAAUUGUGGAUUACAAUAUGGGCUCAUUUUUUGGGGGCCCAUAAACCCACCUUUUUCUGCGAUUUUGCGCCAAAACAACAUACAGUACAGCAAAUCUCUCUCUUCUGUAAAGUGUAUUUAGGGUUUAUAGAAGAUUUGGUAGGCUUGGAUUGAAGCAAAGGUAAAGAUAUAUUUUCUAAAUCUUUGAUUUAAGUUUAAAAGUUAUUAUUACUGUAAGUGAACAUUUUGAUUUGAAUUUGGUUUUCAAGUGAAAAAUUAUGAAUUUGGGGUUCUAUAGAAAUGCAAUAUUUGCAAAUCUUUUUGACAAAUGCGAACUAAUUGAUUGUUAAAGUUAAGGUGUUGAAGGGGAAAAGCUUUAUGAAUCGCGAACUAAUUUGGCUUUUUUAUUAAUAUCUCCAACCCAAAAUUUUUUUGCAGAAAUCAUUUGUAGAUUACUGCCACAGAUAUUUAGCAAUAAUGAUACCAAUGACACUUUUUAUUAUCCCUAUUUUCAUUCUUAAUUGGUACCAUAACAUGGAUUGUUCAUCUAAGGGUGGGAUAGGAUAAGCGAAAACGUUGAAUUUUGGUUAGGAAUUAUCAAGCUGCACAGUAUUAAAAUUUAAAACUAUAUGUCGGCUGGAAACUGCUCUGCGUUUUAAUUUUGGGACCCUUACUCACCAAGUUAGAGCCAUACCAGUUGUUUAUUUUCCCCGGAUGCAUUACAAGGCUAAAGCAAGUAGCCAAUCUGUUGUUUUCUUUCUAUUGUAAGACUUUAUGUAUUUGCUGGAAUUAUUGUUCCUCACCUAUGCAUCGCUUAACAGUAUUCAUUUUAUGUAAUAAUUGUAGAAUGCUUCUUCGAUGCCCUUCUUCAGCAUUUUAUGGUCAUCAUCGGCGUGAUUACAUCUUUGGCUCAGGUUUCAAGGCUCCUAAGACAGUAGAAUUUGCGUUUCCAAUGGAACAUAUAACUAGUGGAAAGAAUGAGAGUAGAUCCUCAUCUCUUCAUAUGAGAAAACAGAUCUCUUGCUGCCAAUCGUCAAGCAUAAAUCAUGAAGAUUUAUCAAGGUAAAUAUUACACAUUUCUUAUAUUGUUAUCAUCAGUUUUAUGAUGUAAUUUAAUCAGAAUAAGUGGCUAUCUGCUUUCUAUAUUUUAUCACAUCCAAUCUCUUUAAUGUUCAAAUUUGCGCUAAAAAUGUAGAGAUGAUGUUUAUCGGCACUUGCACUUCACUUUCAUGCUUUCUCCUUUUAUUUAAUACUUAUUGUGUUUGCCGGUUGGCAUCCGUACUACAGUAAAUUGGUUCAUGUUAUUUAUAUACUAGAAUUAACACAAUUAUUUUGUGCUAUUCUUUGCCUUUAUAGGAAGGAUGAAUUUUUGGUCCAUGGAGUAUCUGAUACUAUUGUAGGAGUUCUGGGAGGAGGACAACUGGGUAGAAUGCUUUGUCAGGCAGCAUCACAAAUGGCUAUCAAAGUCGUGAUUUUAGAUCCACUUGAGUCCUGUCCAGCAAGUGCGUUGUGCUACCAACAUGUAGUUGGAAGCUUUGAUGACAGUGCCACAGUUCAGAAUUUUGCAAAGAGGUUGUUUCUAGCCUGGAGACCAUAAUACUCUUCAUCCUUUACUUUUAAUAUAAAUUUUUCAAUUAUUUUUCUUGAAAUUUACAAGUUUUUUUCUCCAUGGUUGCUAGAUGUGGAGUGUUAACUGUUGAAAUCGAGCAUGUUGAUGUUGCAACACUUGAGAAGCUUGAACAACAAGGUGUCGAUUGCCAUCCUAAAGCCUCUACAAUUAGAAUAAUUCAAGUAUGUCUUAGCAUCUUGUUGAGUUUACCUGACUUACUUUGCAUCAUAUCAUAGUCAUUUCUAAAUAUAACCCACUCAAUUUGUUUUGAAAUACUUGAUCUAUGAACAAUCAUGUUAUGUAUAUCCAAAUCCGAGAAGGGUUAUUUAGAUACGCCUUUUGCACCAUCCUCCCCUUUACCCUUGCCAGUUGCUCAUGGCAACAAAUGUGCCUAGUGUUAUUUACUAUAGUUAGCAGAUGAACAUAUUACAUCAAUGGUUUUGAAGCAGAGUCGAAUUAGUUUUAAAAGAUUAAAUACUCAAUUGGAAGAAAUCACAGUUCUGAUCAAUAUGCAUAAUGUUAGAUGCAAUCUGUGCUGUUCUAUGGCAUGCACGUUUGAUCAUAGGCCACUACAGGCAUUUUUAAGUUUCAAGUAUUUGCCUCUUGAAUACUUGAUUGCAUGAAAUACUCAGUUUGAAGUUUAUUCAUGUAAGGGUUCUCGCGUCUAUGAUUGCUGAUGCUUUGUUUGAUAUUUUCUUGAUGUUAUCGGUUGGUUUAAUUAUAUCUAUGACUACCUUGUAAAAAGAUCUUUUAUUUUCUUAGAUUCCUCACCCAAGAUCCUCUCCAGAAAUAGUGAGGUAAAAUUUACAUCAGUGUGAACUGUGAAAUAGGGAUACAAACAACUCUGCAGUUUUUAUUACUAUAAUGGUUUUAAGGGUCCUUUCGACAUCAACCACAAGUGUAGAUUACAUCACUUACUUAUUGAUUCUCAUGCUCGCUUUUCUUUUAUUACAGGACAAAUAUCUUCAGAAAGCUCAUUUUUCUAAGCAUGGAAUUCCAUUGCCUGAUUUUGUGGAGGUAAGCGAACACUUAAGCCCAAUCUUAACAAAAGCGAAUCAGGUUAUAUUUAAUUUUUUUAUACUGAUUGUGGCAGAUAGAUAAUUUUGAUAGUGCAAAGAGAGCAGGGGACCUGUUUGGAUAUCCCCUUAUGAUUAAGAGUAAAAGGCUAGCAUAUGAUGGGCGGGGAAAUGCUGUUGCUAACAAUGAAGAGGAGAUUUCUUCUUCUGUAGCUGGUAUUUGUCCAUGCCAAUUUGAAUGUUUAUUUAUCAUCUUCCAAUGUUGCUAUAUUGUUGUUAGUGGCUGUCAAUAGUAUUAGUGUUCUUGUACUCAUGUGGACUAAGAGUUUAAGAGGAUAAAUAUCAACAUUUAAUACAUGAUAAUUCAAUGUAUCAGCUUUGGAACAUUUUGAUUUUCCAUCUUCUCUGACAGCAUAAAGAAAUAUUUGAAGUCAAGACUCAAGACUAUAUUUCUUAUAUUGUUUUUUGUGUUUAAUGUUGUUUUUUGUGUUUAAUGUUAUUGGCCUAUGUCCUGGUUUGACAACAAUUACAUAAUAAAGUUUCUGACUACAUAAAAAAGCCAAGUUUGUUCUGGCCAGUUAAUAGCUGUAGAUAGGUUCCAUGAUGCACUCCACAGCUAUAAUACAUGACAAAGUACAAAAAGUUGUUUGCUGUAUUGGAUUUUAAUAUUUUAUCAAUGGUUUAUAUAGUUCACCUGAUUGUUCUCCCCUUUUCUUUUCUUUCUCUCUUGUAGCUCUAGGAGGAUAUGGUCGUGGCUUAUAUGUUGAGAAGUGGGCUCCUUUCGUAAAGGUUGGUGCCAAAAAUUAUGAAGUUACUUUAGUCACCUUCUGAAUUUGCUCAAUAUCUGCAUUCUACUAGUAUUAUUUUCUAAAUUCCAUUAAACCUUUUGAUGUUCUUUGCCACAUUAAUGUGUGAAUGAUAUGGUUCUGUUUUUUUCUUUUAAGUCCUGGAUGUUGGAUGAUCUAAUUGAUUUUUUCAUUUAAGUCUGUAAUAUUCCACUUGAACCGUUGCUGUGUACUUCCCAUCCACAAUGUCCCCUUUUUUAGGAUUAUGCAUUUUACUUUUCUGACAUAAAAUCUGUUUAUAAAAUCAACCUCAAAUUUUUUUAUUUAUUUUUUUAAUUUCUUCAAAUAUUCGCAUAGAAAGAAAAAUCCUUUAUAUAUAUAUAAUAAGUUGUUCCACUUAAAUUUUCAUUAAGAAAUAAGAAUAGCAUUCGAACAAGGCGUCGUCGGAUUUUGAGGCACACAACCAGGACAAGAGAAGCUGCAAGGCUUGGUGGGUUAUUGGAAACUUUGAUCACUUAGACGCCAAGUGUAACCUAAAUAGCUGUUAUUGCAACCUAAUUUUCCUGUUUAGAGUUUUGUCCCGUUACAACACAAGUUUUGUUAUGUCCUCUCGAAAAGAAAGCCAAUGCUUGUUGUCUGUGCAAAAAAUGAUGAUGGUGAUGGUGGGUGGUGGAUUGACAGUGGACUAGAAUUUCUGUAGAAGGGUGGCUACCAUGAUAUACCCAAGAACAAGGAUUAUCAGGAUCAAACCUCUCAAAUCUAUGAAUGCCUUUGCAUAGUUGAGGGUUGGUGACCUCAGAUCCUUUGGAUCUAUCCUGUUUACCUCAAUGCAGCACACAAAAAGUUCAGUCCUACUCAAAUCUCUAGUUUAAGAGAUAACCAUUAAGUGCCACGUGUGUGAUGGAGAUAGCUCCUGGCUUAUCUCCCAAGGUGAUGGAAUCCUGCGACCAUUCCUUUGGCCUAGUGGAUUAGUGUCCUAGCCAUCUCCAACAAUGGGAUGCACAUUAUUAUGUUUCAACAAGAUUUUUCAAACAAGUGCGAAUUCAGUUUGAGUGCAUAUGAUUAAACAUAUUGUUUCUAUGUUUAGGAGUUAGCUGUCAUUGUGGCAAGGGGACGAGACAAUAGUAUCUCAUGCUAUCCUGUUGUUGAAACUAUCCACAGGUAAGAUGUUAGUUUGAUCUUUGAACAUAAUUGCAUACUUGCAUGAAAUACUUGAUUUCUUGUUGCAUUCUAAUUAUGGAUAGUUUGAAUAUUUUGCAACCCUACGCAUUCUUUUGAUCGAAUUUGUGUGCUUAUUUUCUUCUUAUAGUGAUAACAUCUGUCACAUAGUCAAGGCGCCUGCAGAUGUCCCAUGGAAGAUCAGAAAUCUUGCUACUGAUGUUGCGAAAAAAGCUGUUAAGUCAUUAGAUGGUGCUGGCGUAUUUGCGGUUGAGUUGUUUCUCACGAAGGAUGAUCAGGUGGUUCUUCUAUUCUGUAAAUUUCUAAUAUGCUUUUCUGGACAAGAUAUGCAUCUAUUUAUUUUCUCCUAUUCUUGACGACAUCUCGGGUUUGUGUUUCUGUGGCACUUUGUUAAUACAAUUAGCUAACGAUUUGUUCUUUUCUGUGUUAAAUUAUCACAGAUUUUACUAAAUGAAGUAGCUCCUAGACCUCACAACAGUGGGCAUCACACAAUUGAAUCUUGCUUCACCUCCCAAUAUGAGCAGCAUUUGCGAGCAGUUAUCGGUCUUCCACUGGGUGAUUCAUCAAUGAAAACUCCAGCUGCUAUCAUGUACAACAUACUAGGUGAAGAGGAGGUAUUCAUUAUUUACUUCCUCAACUAUUUGAAGUUAGAAAAAAAAAAAAAAAAAAAAGGUUCAUAUGCUUUGUAGUAUAAUUAUUUGGUAUUUACUAGUAAAACAGUUUUCCUACUGUAUGAGAAAAUUCGUUGAAGCUUUAGUUACAUCUAAUAAGCUACUUUUGACACAUUUUAUUUGUGUGCCUAGGGGGAGUUAGGAUUCAAUUUAGCUCAUCAGUUGAUUAAAAAGGCAUUAAAUAUCUCUGGAGCUUCUGUUCAUUGGUAUGAUAAGCCAGGUCAGAUUAUGUUAAAGCCGUUGUUGAUAGUCAUGUUUUGGCAUAUAUCUCCAGUUUUCACCUGUUCGCUAAUUGAAGUCUUCUGGUAGAAAUGCGAAAGCAGCGCAAGAUGGGGCAUGUAACUAUUGUCGGUUCUUCCAUGGGCAUGGUGGAAGCUCAACUAAAGUCAUUGUUGGGUAAAGAAGAACUGAGAUUGGAAGAUGGGACUGCAGGUCUGUUAUAUAUAUAAAAUUGUGGAAGACCUGAUCACCUCUGUUUGCUCUAGUGCUAUGAUGUUGGUGCAAAGUGUUGUUUCUUUAACUGUAAUCUAUUGAGUUAAUAAGGUUUGUUAAGGAUUUUCUGUGAUUGGCUUCAUCAUAGGAGCCAAAAAAUAAUGCUUGAGCUCCCAGGGAGCCCAAAAUCUUUGUGCUCAUUGCAGUUUAAUGGAGCACAUCAACUCGCGAUGGCAUGUAUAAUAAUAUUUUCAAUCCUAAAGAUUAUUUAUUUUAUAGUGCCGUUUGUAAAUUUAAUGGAGAUUGUUCUGUUUUGAGAUAGUUCUCCAAUACGGUUAGUUUUUUGCUGUGACCUAAUGUAUGAUAAACUCAAUGAUUCUUAUACCUUCAAUCCUAUCGAAAUCCAUGUCUUUUCAACACAUGUAUUUUCAUUCUCCAUUAGUUUUUGAGUCGGAUGUUCCAAGAAAAGUGUGCAAACUUGUUUUGUACUGUGUUUUAAUGGUUGUCACUUUUCAAUUUCACCUUUUUAUAUUGUCUUUGAACUUGUUGAUGCAGCCACCCCGAGUGUGGGGAUUAUAAUGGGCUCUGAUUCAGAUCUACCAAUCAUGAAGGAUGCUGCAAAGAUUUUGGAUUCCUUUGGUGUGCAUUACGAGGUAGGGCUUUUAUUGGUGUUUCGUUUUAUGUAUGAUUAUGAGCUCUUUUUGGCUCAGCUGUCAUCCAUGGCUUAUCUUCAUAUAUCAAACUUGUAGGUGAGAAUCGUUUCAGCACACCGAACUCCCAGCUGGAUGUAUACCUAUGCUGCUACUGCUCGGAAGCGGGGUAUUCAAGUUAUCAUUGCUGGUGCUGGUGGUGCUGCCCAUUUACCAGGUAAUUUGAUUAUUAUGGAUAGUUAAUGUGUCUAUUUCCCGCUUAUAUUUUUUUUUUAUAUAUAAUAUAUCUAUCAAAAUGAAUUUAUUGUCUAGGUAUGGUGGCUGCCAUGACUCCCUUACCUGUCAUUGGUGUUCCUGUACGUGGUUCUGCAUUGGAUGGGACUGAUUCUCUUUUAUCUAUUGUCCAGGUUUGUGGUAGACUUGUAGUUACUUUAUAUUCCUUUCAACUCUUUCUGGUGGCUCUCCACUCAUGUUUCUUGCUUAUAAAAAUGGACCUUAAUUCCUUUUUUCCUAUGUAACAUGGAUACUCCAUAGUCCAUGUCAGAAAAAUCCGUGUCCGAUACACGGACAGGCGACACACGUGUCGGACACACAUGGACACGCUUACAAACUUAUGCACAUGAUUCAGGCUAGAAUUUGUUGUAAAACCCUGAUAUGUGAAGAAAAGGAAAGAGAUGAGCAAGAAUUUAUCCAUUCAUCAAAUUACAAUCAAAGAAAAGAUAAAAAAGAAAGAAGAGAAUGAGAGAAGGUAUGUUCCAGAUCUUAAAAAUCAAUUAUAAAUAAUCACAAUCCGUGUCGACUGGUUUUAGGAUGCCGUAUCCGACACUCUGUAUCUGUGUCGGACACCGACACGGCGACACACGUACCGGUGUCAAUGUUACUUAGUGUUUUUAUAAUAGAAAAAAAGGAAUAAAAGGAAUAUUGAAAAAUCUUAAUUGUGAUCAGAUUCAGGUCCUUUAUCUUUCUCUUACGGUAAGUAGUGGGAUCAUCUUAUAGUUCUUUGGAAUAUUCUCAAAAGCUUUUAAAGCUCCAACAGUCAUAUAUUCUGUUGAAAAUUGAAAUGGUAUGAAUUAUUUGUGUCCUCUUACUUCUUUCUAAUAGCAUAAAGUUGCUUUAAGCUGGUUUUUCUAUGGUUAGUGAGUAGCAAAAAAGAGACGAGAGAUUAGAGAGCCGUAUAAUGACACUUUUCUUGAUAGCUCAUAUUGGCUGCUCUGUUCUCACAUGGUUAUCUGGUUGUGGGCUCCAAACAUUUCACUUAACCUCAAUUUCUUUUUCGUUUAAAUAUAUCAUGCGAAGUGUGAUUAUGAGUAUAUCUAAAAAAUUCGAUUCAAUUUACUAGUGAUGUAGUGGAUUGUUUCUUCUCUCUUAAGCAUGGAACCCUUGGCCAACUAUUGAAAUUUGCAACUUUGAAACAAAUAUUUCAUGUAAGAAAUUGGAACUUCUAGAUGUUUCUCUUGAAGCAUUUAUGAGAGUAGGUUGUUACCGAUAUUUUCUCGUUGAUCCCUUGACGUCCUAUUAUUUUUAGCACUUAGCAUUUGAGUAGUUUGAUUUACUUUUAGUGUAGUUAGUCUUUGUAAACAUCACUCAGUCAAAGUUUAUUGAAGGUAUUGGCUGAGUCAGUUGUUUGUUCUUGUACCAGAUGCCAAGGGGUGUUCCUGUAGCAACGGUCGCAAUAAACAAUGCAACAAAUGCGGCUCUGUUAGCAGUCAGGAUACUAGGGUUGGGUAAUAAUGAUUUACAGGCUAGGUAAGGGUAGUUUCUUCGAACGGAAAAUUAGAUGUAUGAGUUAUUUUAUACUUUUUUUUUAAAGAAUUUGUUUAUAUUUUAUACAGAUUAAUCCAAUACCAAGAAGAUGUGGGAGACGAUGUCUUGAAGAAGGAUGAGAAACUUGACAAAUGUGGUUGGGAAGAAUAUUUGAAUACCUGAAAGGCAGACAAUUUCUCCCAUGUAGUUCCAUUGUUCAAGUUUCUACGCGUCAAACAUUUCUAUUAAGUCAUCUGAGGUCACCAUGCAUAGAGAUGCAGAGAUUGCCCUCCGUGAAAAACUUGGGAAGUGGUGUGCUCAACUGUGGUAUCAUAGCUAGAAGUCUCAUUCCUGUAUUGAUAGAUUCAAAUGGUGAUCUAUUUUUCUAAUGGUCACGUCAUCAGUUUGAAGUGGAAGGGAAGAAUGUAAUAUUUCCACCCAACUUCUAUCUUUGUAAUAUUUAUUAGAUGAUUACUGAUUAAACUGAUGAGCUCUAUGCUUCUGUAUGAACUGGCAUUUUGGUCAUCAAAAUUUUGAUACAAAACAAUGUUCCUAAUGAAGCAGAAAGAAGUUUCACACAUGUAACCUAGCUGUUAGAAACCAAUUAUAGAACAAGGAUUUGCAACUGGU